rnacentral:rRNA from 1 species
GACCGUGCAAAGGUAGCAUAAUCAUUUGCCUUAUAAUUGAAGGCUAGUAUGAAUGGUUUGACGAGAAUUAAGCUGUCUCUUCUCAAUUAAAUAUAAUUUUAUUAACAGGUGAAGAAGCCUGUGUGUUAUUGAAAGACAAGAAGACCCUAUCGAGCUUUAAGGAAUUCAAUAGAUUUAUUAUAUAUUUAUAUAAAUAUAAAACUAUUGAAAACUUUGGUUGGGGCGACUGAGGAACAAAAAAAGCUUCCUUUAUAUCUUUAGAACCUACAAGUAUUGAUCCAAUAAAUUUGAUUAAAGGAAUUAGUUACCGUAGGGAUAACAGCAUAAUCUUCUUUGAGAGUUCUUAUCGAAAAGGAGGUUUGUGACCUCGAUGUUGGACCAGAAUACCCAGAAGAUGUAGCCGUCUUCAAUGGUUGGUCUGUUCGACCAUUAAA